rnacentral:rRNA from 1 species
GACAGAGGUGCCAAGCGUUAGGCGGAAUCACUGGGCUUAAAGCGUGUGUAGGCGGAAUUGUAAGUACCUUGUGAAAGUCCCAAUGGCUCAACCAUGGAACUGCUCGGUAUACUGCCUUUCUUGAUGCCUUAGGGGCUACCGGAACGAAAUGGUGGAGCGGUGAAAAUGCGUAGAUAUCAUUUGGAACGCCAAUGGUGAAA